UGCCUACGGGUGGCAGCAGUGGGGAAUCUUCCGCAAUGGGCGAAAGCCUGACGGAGCAACGCCGCGUGAGUGAUGAAGGCCCUCGGGUCGUAAAACUCUGUCUUUGGGGAAGAAAAAAAUGACGGUACCCAAGGAGGAAGCCCCGGCUAACUACGUGCCAGCAGCCGCGGUAAAACGUAGGGGGCGAGCGUUGUCCGGAAUUACUGGGCGUAAAGGGCGUGUAGGUGGCCUGUGAAGUCGAAAGUGAAAACCUGGGGCUUAACCCCGGGCCUGCUUUCGAAACCAGCAGGCUUGAGGACAGGAGAGGGAAGCGGAAUUCCCAGUGUAGCGGUGAAAUGCGUAGAUAUUGGGAGGAACACCAGUGGCGAAAGCGGCUUCCUGGCCUGUAACUGACACUGAGGCGCGAAAGCGUGGGGAGCAAACAGGAUUAGAUACCCUAGUAGUCUCU
rnacentral:rRNA from 1 species